rnacentral:rRNA from 1 species
GGGGGAAAAUUAAUAAGUAUAUAUAAAUAAUAAAAAAAUUUUUAAUAUUGGGGGGUAUUAUAGUAUUUUUUUAUGAAAAAAUAAAAUAUUUUAUAGUUUAUUAGUAUUGAAAAAGAAAUUUGAAAUAAAUGAAAAUAAAUUAAUUAAAAAGUAAUUUUAAUUUAGUGUAUCUUGUGUAUCAGAGUUUAUUAAAAAAUAUUUUUUUAAUAAAAAAAUCUCGAAUUUAAAAGAGUUAAUUAAUUAUAAAAGUUAAUGUAGAAAAAUUAUUUUAAAUAAUUAAUUUGAAAUGAAAUGUUAAUCGUUUUUAAAUAUAUCUAGUUAUUUUAGAAAAAAAUUUAAUUUAAAAUUUAAAAAAUUUUAUUAUUAAUUAGAUUAAUAAUUAAAAUAUUUAAAAUUAAAUAUAUUAAGGGAUAAGCUUUAGUAUAAAAAUUUAUAAUAAACUAAAAUUUAAUAUAAAAAUUUUAAAAUUUAUAUUGUUUAAAAAUUAUAAUUUAUUAUAAAAAAUUUUAUAUUUAAUAAAAUUUAAUUUAAAAUUUAAUUUUAUAUAAAAUAAUAAUUUAUAAUAAAAAAAAGUUAAAAAUAAUGAUAAAAUUAGUAUAUUAAAAUAAAAAUAUAGUUUAAUUAAUAAAAAUUAAAUUAAAGGAAUUCGGCAAAAAUUUAUAUUCACUUGUUUAUCAAAAACAUGUCUUUUAGAUAAUAAUUUAAAGUCUAAUCUGCCCACUGAUAAUAUAUUAAAGGGCUGCAGUAUAUUGACUGUACAAAGGUAGCAUAAUCAUUAGUCUUUUAAUUGAAGACUUGUAUGAAAGAUUUGAUGAAAUAUAAACUGUCUCUAAUUUAUUUAUAAAAUUUAAUUUUUUAGUUAAAAAGCUAAAAUAAAUUUAAAAGACGAGAAGACCCUAUAGAGUUUUAUAUUAUAAUUAUUUAAGAUUAUAUGUAUAAUUAAAAAUUAAAAAUAAAAAUAAUAUUUUAUUGGGGUGAUAAAAAAAUUAAUAUAACUUUUUUUUUAAUAAAACAUAAAUAAGUGAAUAAUUGAUCCAUUUUUUAUGAUUAAAAGAAAAAAUUACCUUAGGGAUAACAGCGUAAUAUUUUUUUUUAGUACAAAUAAAAAAAAAAGUUUGCGACCUCGAUGUUGGAUUAAGAUAAAAUUUAAAUGCAAAAGUUUAAAAUUUUGAUCUGUUCGAUCAUUAAAAUCUUACAUGAUCUGAGUUCAAACCGGUGUAAGCCAGGUUGGUUUCUAUCUUUAAAUUAAUAAAAUAUUUUAGUACGAAAGGAUCAAAUAUUUUUAAUAAUUAAAAUUUAAUUGAAUAUUAAUAAUAAAUAGUUA